UACGUAGGUGGCAAGCGUUGUCCGGAAUUAUUGGGCGUAAAGCGCGCGCAGGCGGUCCUUUAAGUCUGAUGUGAAAGCCCACGGCUCAACCGUGGAGGGUCAUUGGAAACUGGGGGACUUGAGUGCAGAAGAGGAAAGCGGAAUUCCACGUGUAGCGGUGAAAUGCGUAGAGAUGUGGAGGAACACCCGUGGCGAAGGCGGCACUCUGGGACGGUACUGACGCUGAGACGCGAAAGCGUGGGGAGCGAACAGG
rnacentral:rRNA from 1 species